rnacentral:lncRNA from 1 species
UGAUGGGUUGCCUCCAUUAAGCGCUUUUUUAAAGUCCUAAGCUUGACCUUUCUAGUUUUAUGUUAGGGCGGCAUAUAUGACACAAAAGACACAUCAUCCUUCUUCUUCCUUUUGUUAGGUAGGAACUCCACCACUUCCAGGAAUUGAAGAAUUUUCUUCCAUAUUUUCUUCAGUUUGAUAGUAUCGAACAAGGUAUAAAUCUUAUCAAAUACUUCAUCUAUUUCUCCUCUUUCAUCAGUCUUAUUGCUAGGUGUAAUAAUGUCAUUUUAUUGAAGAUCUUGUAGUUGGACAUCUACAUAUAAGCUAAUUAUUGAAAUUGAAGCUUCAUCCAAACCGAGACAAUCUUCAUCUUGCAUUCUGGCUCUUUUCCCACAUAUCUUUUUCACCUUUAUUGCUUUUAUUCUUGCUUCUAUUUCUUUAUUAGAUGUUGUGUACUUUUCUUCUUCUUUCUCUUUUUUAACUUCUCCUUCAUCGACUACGCCACAAUCAUGUUUGAAUUUUCGUUCAAUUUCCUUAUCUCUAGGACUAUCUAAAUUAUUUCCAUUUAAAUCCCCACUAUAUAUCAAUUUUAAUGCUAAUUGUCUAGAUACUAGACCAAGUUGCAUAGCUAAGUUCUUGAAGGAUGUUUACAUGUCCCUUUGCAAGGUUUCUUGCUACCUGUUGAUUUUCCGGAAAAUGGUUUGAGUAAUCUUCAUGAUCUAGGUCAAGGUUUCUUCAACCCCUCCUUCAUUUAAUACCUCACAUUCUUGUUUGACUUCUCUUUCAAUUUCCUCAUCUUUAGGACUAUCUAACAUAUUUUCAUAGAAAUCCCCACUAGAUCUCGAUUUUAAUGUUAAUUGGUUGGAUAUUUGACCAAGUUGCAUUUCUAACUUCUCAAAGGAUGUUUCCCUGUUACAUAGCACGAUCUCUUGAUGUUUGUUGAGUUUCUCGAAAUUGAUUUGAGCCAUCUUUAUAAACUGAGUCAGGGUUUCUUCAAAUUGAGAUGAUUAAUCCUCCUUCCAUGAAUGAUCAGUGUCAGGUUCUGGUUCUGAAUCAUUUCUAGCAUUUUCCAGAAUGAGUAAUUUUGCUGCAAUUUCCUUUGCAUAAGCUUCAAAGUUUUCCAAGCUAGCAUAGACGUCAUCUUGCAUGACGGUCUUGACCUCACAUACAAAAACAAAAAAAGAGUACCUUAGUAGCAAUGCACUAGAUAAUAAAUUUAAACAAAAAUAAAACCAAAAAGAGAAAAAAUAGGAAAGGAAAUUUAAGAAGAAACAAAAAUAACUAAUUACAAAAAAAAUAUUUACAAUUGAAACCAAAAAUAA